rnacentral:rRNA from 1 species
ACGCUUGAGCAUGCUCGUCGCGCAGGCAGCUGGUACGUACGCUUGCUACUUUUGCCGGCGAGCGGCGGACGGGUGAGUAAUGCCUGGGGAUCUGCCCAGUCGAGGGGGAUAACUACUGGAAACGGUAGCUAAUACCGCAUACGCCCUACGGGGGAAAGCAGGGGACCUUCGGGCCUUGCGCGAUUGGAUGAACCCAGGUGGGAUUAGCUAGUUGGUGAGGUAAUGGCUCACCAAGGCGACGAUCCCUAGCUGGUCUGAGAGGAUGAUCAGCCACACUGGAACUGAGACACGGUCCAGACUCCUACGGGAGGCAGCAGUGGGGAAUAUUGCACAAUGGGGGAAACCCUGAUGCAGCCAUGCCGCGUGUGUGAAGAAGGCCUUCGGGUUGUAAAGCACUUUCAGCUAGGAGGAAAGGUUGGUAGCUAAUAACUGCCAGCUGCGACAUUACUCUCAGAAGAAGCUCAGGCUCUCUCUGUGCCAGCAGCGGAGACAAAUAGAGUACGCAAGCGUCAAUCGUAAUGAGUGGGAGUUAGUGUUCUUACCCACAUGCACAACCAAACGAACAAGGGCAACCCAAAGC